rnacentral:rRNA from 1 species
GGUUAAGCGACUAAGCGUACACGGUGGAUGCCCUGGCAGUCAGAGGCGAUGAAGGACGUGCUAAUCUGCGAAAAGCGCCGGCGAGGUGAUAUGAACCUUUGACCCGGCGAUGUCCGAAUGGGGAAACCCAGUGUGUUCCGACACACUAUCGUUAACUGAAUACAUAGGUUAACGAGGCGAACCGGGGGAACUGAAACAUCUAAGUACCCCGAGGAAAAGAAAUCAACCGAGAUUCCCCCAGUAGCGGCGAGCGAACGGGGAGCAGCCCAGAGUCUGAAUCAGCUUGUGUGUUAGUGGAAGCGUCUGGAAAGUCGCACGGUACAGGGUGACAGUCCCGUACACGAAAGCACACAGGCUGUGAACUCGAAGAGUAGGGCGGGACACGUGGUAUCCUGUCUGAAUAUGGGGGGACCAUCCUCCAAGGCUAAAUACUCCUGACUGACCGAUAGUGAACCAGUACCGUGAGGGAAAGGCGAAAAGAACCCCGGCGAGGGGAGUGAAAAAGAACCUGAAACCGUGUACGUACAAGCAGUGGGAGCCUCUUUUAUGGGGUGACUGCGUACCUUUUGUAUAAUGGGUCAGCGACUUAUAUUCUGUAGCAAGGUUAACCGUAUAGGGGAGCCGAAGGGAAACCGAGUCUUAACUGGGCGUUAAGUUGCAGGGUAUAGACCCGAAACCCGGUGAUCUAGCCAUGGGCAGGUUGAAGGUUGGGUAACACUAACUGGAGGACCGAACCGACUAAUGUUGAAAAAUUAGCGGAUGACUUGUGGCUGGGGGUGAAAGGCCAAUCAAACCGGGAGAUAGCUGGUUCUCCCCGAAAGCUAUUUAGGUAGCGCCUCGUGAACUCAUCUUCGGGGGUAGAGCACUGUUUCGGCUAGGGGGCCAUCCCGGCUUACCAACCCGAUGCAAACUACGAAUACCGAAGAAUGUUAUCACGGGAGACACACGGCGGGUGCUAACGUCCGUCGUGAAGAGGGAAACAACCCAGACCGCCAGCUAAGGUCCCAAAGUCAUGGUUAAGUGGGAAACGAUGUGGGAAGGCACAGACAGCCAGGAUGUUGGCUUAGAAGCAGCCAUCAUUUAAAGAAAGCGUAAUAGCUCACUGGUCGAGUCGGCCUGCGCGGAAGAUGUAACGGGGCUAAACCAUGCACCGAAGCUGCGGCAGCGACACUAUGUGUUGUUGGGUAGGGGAGCGUUCUGUAAGCCGUUGAAGGUGUCCUGUGAGGGGUGCUGGAGGUAUCAGAAGUGCGAAUGCUGACAUAAGUAACGAUAAAGCGGGUGAAAAGCCCGCUCGCCGGAAGACCAAGGGUUCCUGUCCAACGUUAAUCGGGGCAGGGUGAGUCGACCCCUAAGGCGAGGCCGAAAGGCGUAGUCGAUGGGAAACAGGUUAAUAUUCCUGUACUUGGUGUUACUGCGAAGGGGGGACGGAGAAGGCUAUGUUAGCCGGGCGACGGUUGUCCCGGUUUAAGCAUGUAGGCGGAGGUUCCAGGUAAAUCCGGUUCCUUGUUAACGCUGAGGUGUGAUGACGAGGCACUACGGUGCUGAAGUAACAAAUGCCCUGCUUCCAGGAAAAGCCUCUAAGCAUCAGGUAACAUCAAAUCGUACCCCAAACCGACACAGGUGGUCAGGUAGAGAAUACCAAGGCGCUUGAGAGAACUCGGGUGAAGGAACUAGGCAAAAUGGUGCCGUAACUUCGGGAGAAGGCACGCUGAUAUGUAGGUGAAGCCCCUGCGGGUGGAGCUGAAAUCAGUCGAAGAUACCAGCUGGCUGCAACUGUUUAUUAAAAACACAGCACUGUGCAAACACGAAAGUGGACGUAUACGGUGUGACGCCUGCCCGGUGCCGGAAGGUUAAUUGAUGGGGUUAGCGGCAACGCGAAGCUCUUGAUCGAAGCCCCGGUAAACGGCGGCCGUAACUAUAACGGUCCUAAGGUAGCGAAAUUCCUUGUCGGGUAAGUUCCGACCUGCACGAAUGGCGUAAUGAUGGCCAGGCUGUCUCCACCCGAGACUCAGUGAAAUUGAACUCGCUGUGAAGAUGCAGUGUACCCGCGGCAAGACGGAAAGACCCCGUGAACCUUUACUAUAGCUUGACACUGAACACUGGUCCUUGAUGUGUAGGAUAGGUGGGAGGCUUUGAAGCGUGGACGCCAGUCUGCGUGGAGCCAACCUUGAAAUACCACCCUUUAAUGGCUGGUGUUCUAACGUAGACCCGUGAUCCGGGUUGCGGACAGUGUCUGGUGGGUAGUUUGACUGGGGCGGUCUCCUCCCAAAGAGUAACGGAGGAGCACGAAGGUUAGCUAAUCCUGGUCGGACAUCAGGAGGUUAGUGCAAUGGCAUAAGCUAGCUUGACUGCGAGAGUGACGGCUCGAGCAGGUGCGAAAGCAGGUCAUAGUGAUCCGGUGGUUCUGAAUGGAAGGGCCAUCGCUCAACGGAUAAAAGGUACUCCGGGGAUAACAGGCUGAUACCGCCCAAGAGUUCAUAUCGACGGCGGUGUUUGGCACCUCGAUGUCGGCUCAUCACAUCCUGGGGCUGAAGUAGGUCCCAAGGGUAUGGCUGUUCGCCAUUUAAAGUGGUACGCGAGCUGGGUUUAGAACGUCGUGAGACAGUUCGGUCCCUAUCUGCCGUGGGCGCUGGAGAAUUGAGGGGGGCUGCUCCUAGUACGAGAGGACCGGAGUGGACGCAUCACUGGUGUUCGGGUUGUCAUGCCAAUGGCACUGCCCGGUAGCUAAAUGCGGAAGAGAUAAGUGCUGAAAGCAUCUAAGCACGAAACUUGCCCCGAGAUGAGUUCUCCCUGAGACUUUAAGUCUCCUGAAGGAACGUUGAAGACUACGACGUUGAUAGGUCGGGUGUGUAAGCGCAGCGAUGCGUUGAGCUAACCGAUACUAAUGAACCGUGAGGCUUAACCUU